UACGUAGGGUGCAAGCGUUAAUCGGAAUUACUGGGCGUAAAGGGCUCGUAGGCGGCCAACUAAGUCAGACGUGAAAUCCCUCGGCUUAACCGGGGAACUGCAUCUGAUACUGGAUGGCUUGAGUUCGGGAGAGGGAUGCGGAAUUCCAGGUGUAGCGGUGAAAUGCGUAGAUAUCUGGAGGAACACCGGUGGCGAAGGCGGCAUCCUGGACCGGCACUGACGCUGAGGAGCGAAAGCCAGGGGAGCAAACGGG
rnacentral:rRNA from 1 species